GGAUGUGAGGGUGAUCUGGCUGUGACAUCUGUGACCCCAUUGAUCGCCAGCAUUGAUUCGGCUGAUCUGGCUGGCUAGGCGGGUGUCCCCUUCCUCCCUCACUGCUCCAUGUAUGUCCCUCCUGAAGCUGCACAUUCGGUCGAAGAGGAUGACCACCCCCAAUAGAGGAGGAUCUUUUCCUUGGUCAAAGGUAUACGAGUAGCUGCACUCCCCUGCUAGAACCUCCAAACAGACUACAGGAUAUAUAUUCUUUUUGGUAGCAUGAGGUACUUUCUCCAAAACAGACCACAUACUACCUAAUAAAGCAUUGUUA
rnacentral:snRNA from 1 species